GGCUUGGCGAAGUUCUUUCUUGUAAAAGAAGAGUCCAGGUGAAUUCUUCAGAUCAAGAACUUGAACAAAAGUGUUGAUACCAUCAGGGCUAAAAUCAAGAUUCCUGAUGGAUUUCUCCAUGAAUUGAAUUCUCCAUCUGAGGAAUUUGGUGAGUUUCUCUUUGUCAUCAGCAAAAGUGUUUUGGUACAAUUCUUUGUCUUGGAACUCACCAAAUGCAUUGUAACAUACAGGGUGACCUUCUUUGUCUACUCCGUGAUUGUAAACAACUUUUUCAAGUCCUUGUCCUAAUUCUUUCUCAUCCAAGAGUUCAUCAAUCUUGAAUUCUUUUCUCCAUGCGACAACACUUUUCAACAUGGUGAAAGCUUCUUUCACCUUGAAA
rnacentral:lncRNA from 1 species